rnacentral:rRNA from 1 species
CCUACGGGAGGCAGCAGUGGGGAAUUUUGGACAAUGGGCGAAAGCCUGAUCCAGCCAUGCCGCGUGCAGGAUGAAGGCCUUCGGGUUGUAAACUGCUUUUGUACGGAACGAAAAGGUCUUUUCUAAUAAAGAGGGCCCAUGACGGUACCGUAAGAAUAAGCACCGGCUAACUACGUGCCAGCAGCCGCGGUAAUACGUAGGGUGCAAGCGUUAAUCGGAAUUACUGGGCGUAAAGCGUGCGCAGGCGGUUAUAUAAGACAGUUGUGAAAUCCCCGGGCUCAACCUGGGAACUGCAUCUGUGACUGUAUAGCUAGAGUACGGUAGAGGGGGAUGGAAUUCCGCGUGUAGCAGUGAAAUGCGUAGAUAUGCGGAGGAACACCGAUGGCGAAGGCAAUCCCCUGGACCUGUACUGACGCUCAUGCACGAAAGCGUGGGGAGCAAACAGGAUUAGAUACCCUGGUAGUCCACGCCCUAAACGAUGUCAACUGGUUNUUGGGUCUUCACUGACUCAGUAACGAAGCUAACGCGUGAAGUUGACCGCCUGGGGAGGACGGUCCGGCGAGUUAGUUAACGUUAAAGUUAGUUAGUUAGACGGCGUUGAGGACGUUGCCGACGGACGACGACGAGGGAGGAGG